rnacentral:rRNA from 1 species
CACGGGGAGGUAGUGACGAAAAAUAACGAUACGGGACUCAUCCGAGGCCCCGUAAUCGGAAUGAGUACACUCUAAAUCCUUUUCCAAGGACCCAUUGGAGGGCAAGUCUGGUGCCAGCAGCCGCGGUAAUUCCAGCUCCAAUAGCGUAUAUUAAAGUUGUUGCGGUUAAAAAGCUCGUAGUCGAAUCUGUGUCCCGCGCCGCUGGUUCAUCGCUCGCGGUGUUCAACUGGCGUGUCUCGCGGGACGUCCUGCCGGUGGGCUUUCGGAUUGAUCGUCAAGAGCGGUCGUUCGUGGCCCAACUCGUAUCCGUUUUGCACGGGUGCGAAUCCCAUCGCGGUGCUCUUUAUUGAGUGUCGAGGUGGGCCGGCACGUUUACUUUGAACAAAUUAGAGUGCUUAAAGCAGGCCAAUUUUGCCUGAAUAUUGUGUGCAUGGAAUAAUGGAAUAGGACCUCGGUUCUAUUUUGUUGGUUUUCGGAACCCCGAGGUAAUGAUUAAUAGGAACGGAUGGGGGCAUUCGUAUUGCGACGUUAGAGGUGAAAUUCUUGGAUCGUCGCAAGACGGACAGAAGCGAAAGCAUUUGCCAAAAACGCUUUCAUUGAUCAAGAACGAAAGUUAGAGGUUCGAAGGCGAUCAGAUACCGCCCUAGUUCUAACCAUAAACGAUGCCAGCUAGCGAUCCGCCGACGUUCCUCCGAUGACUCGGCGGGCAGCUUCCGGGAAACCAAAGCUUUUGGGUUCCGGGGGAAGUAUGGUUGCAAAGCUGAAACUUAAAGGAAUUGACGGAAGGGCACCACCAGGAGUGGAGCCUGCGGCUUAAUUUGACUCAACACGGGAAACCUCACCAGGCCC